CGAGGACACACGCAGCCUCUCGCAAAUAGUGAUUAUUAUAGUUUCUUGGCCGGAUUAUGUAACUCUGGUUAGCAACAAAAGUUAAAAAGAAGGAAGCGAACAGCUCUCUCUCUCUCUCUCUCUCUCUCUCUCUCUCUCUCUCUCUCGAGACAAUCAUGUCUGAGCUGUGAUGUCAAUAUGGCUGAGCUUGGAAAACCACCGCGUACGUCACGUCACUGUUCUGAGUCAUUGGAUCUAAGACAAGAGCAUGCAAAAUCCUCUUGAACCCUCCACAUCCUGGUGACCACCUCUUCCAGCUCCUUCCCUCAGGAGAAGUUGAGUGUCCUGCCAUUUCUGCCAGGCCUUCACACGCUGCUCGAACACGGCCUGCAUACACAUACAUCAUAUAAUCAUCCAUGUAUUAUAUGUCAUACAGUGGCCCCCUGCUAUAUUGUGGAUAAUUGUUCGCGUCCCCACUAUAUCGCAUUUUUACAGAUAAGUCUGAAUUUGGAGUUGCACCUCUUCUGUGUACAGGGGUUGAGACUGCAACCUUUUUUUCAGCUUGUGCGAUUACAAAUUUCAUCUUGUCGUAUUUGCGCGAGUGCAUGUUUUAUUUGUUGAAAGUUGCCUUUUUUCCACUGCAAUCUCCUCUCUGGAGGAGAAGAUUGAGGGAGAUUGAAUGAAAGAGAGCGAGAGAGAGAGAGAAAUUAAGUGCUUCUCCCAGGGGAAGAGGGUUAGGAGCCGUCAGUAUAAAAAGUGGCCCCUCUCAGUUGAACAGAUGAUCCAAUAA